CUCAAAUCCGGUGUAUUUGCGGUUCUUGGAUGAUUAUGUAUUUAAUAUCAUCGUUACUCGCCGAGCCGUGCAUGUAUUCGUUUUGUGCUGUAUACAGUAGUUUAGUUAAUUAAUACGAAGUUCGGUACACAAUGGACAAUGCCUCUCGUCAAGUCGUCAUCGUCACUGAGUGCGUCAGUCAAAUAUUAUCCACGUCGCAUUUGGCACCAGCUACUCGAAAGAACGCACGCUUCUUUGCCAGAAAAUAGUGUCAUGGAUCCAAUAUGUGCUUCUGUGAUGCAGUUGCUAGUUGGAAAGCUAAAUCGCAAAUACACUACAGAUAUGGAGAUGAACCAUGAAACUAAGAUUUGGACUGGCAACACUGAAUAUUGCUAAAAAUAGAAUGGCAUGACUUAAGCCUAUGAGAGCCAAUCAAAGGCGAGAAUUGUUUGUCAAUAACAACUGCUCAUUCACUGACUAGUUUGGGAGAAGCAGAAGCACCUUCUUUAAGACAUCCAUAUGCAGUCCAGUCCGUCCGCUCCGCAAACAUUAUCCGUAUGCUCAGCAAACAUUCAAGUAACUACUGAUGAAUAUUGUGGCGAUUUAGCUUGAGAAGGUCCCAAAAAGGAUGUUGAUUUUGUGGGCUGGGUGCAAGCACAGGAGCUACAUUGUUGAGUCUUAAUCCAUUCUGAUUGGAUAAAAAUAAAUAAAUUCAGCAACUGUUGAGCCAACACAAUUGGCAAAUAAUAUUAAUUGAAGCUUGUCAAAAUUCAAAAAUGAAAACAAAGAUUUCCAAAAAGUUGUCGGACAUUCAGACAAGUCCAUGCACAUAGUUGGUUGGGUUUCAAUUUUCUGUUCAGCAAUCUAGUUUUCUGCCAUGUUGCUUGUAAUGUUGGCGCUUCAUGCCCAAAAGGACAGUUUGGAAUACAAUAAAGGGUCAAAUAACAAAUAUUGCAAUAAAUUAAUAAAUCAAAAAUCCUUUAUUGAAAGCAUCUUCUUGAAAAAAUCUAUUUGAAAUUUUUUCUGUUUUUGCAUUGGGGAAUUUGGGAAUAGUGAUGGAAUGGUGAUAAAAUAACAGUGUUAAUCUGGUUUUGUUAAUAUUUAUUUUAAAUAGUGUUGCUUGGAAAAUACAAUUUUGUUUAAACUUUUUGUGUUCUUUGGCCAGUUGAAAAGCUAUUUUUCUGUUGGUGGUUUUUUUUGAUAAGUCGUUUGGCUCAAGUUUCAUGACAAAAAAUUUAAUGUUGAGCAGAUAAUAAAUUAUCACGAGCAGAAUCAUUAUUGUACAAAUAUUUGGUUAAAUUUCAAUUCCUGUUGUUUUCAGUUUGUGUAGAUUGCUUCAUGCAAAUAUUUUGUUCACAAACCUUCCUAAUUGAUAGAAUGUUAUAAUUAUAAAAUGAAUACUUAGAUAAUAUUCAUUAUAACUAAAAGGUUAUAGUGUCAAAAGUCGUUAACCUUAUAUGUCUACAGUUAUCAGUAUUUCGCAAAAAUUUUCUUCAUCUGUUAUUUAAACAAAUACUUUGGGUAUAGAAGCUGCGCCAAAUGCGUUGCACUUUUUGAAGAUACAGGUCUGAGUAGAUUAGAAAUAUUCCUUUGCCGGUGGCUUUUAUGACUUCCUCGUCGUUGACGUUGAUUGCUAGACAGCUGUAGUUAUUCUUAGCUUAGCUUAGUUAGCGUCCUUCCACCAGACAUGAUGAUAGAGUACGCUGUCCUCCUUCUUUCGACAUUGACCUCCUUCCGGAUACGCAUACCUUGAGCGUUUAAUUAGGAUUAAGGGAUUGUUUAGUUUUAGGAUUUGACCACGGGACAGGGUAUUCGAUCAUAACUACCCCUUGGCUAUCCCAGAAAAGAGAGCCCAUGACCUUACCGGCGGAUGGGAUGGGAUUGCCUUAAAUUUCUUCGGAGUCGGAGAUGACGGCCUCUUGGUCAUGGACUGUUGUUUAGUUUCUGGGUCGUAAUGAUGAAGCCACGUUUCGUCCAUAGUUAUAAAACGAGCCAAAAAUUGCUUAGGAUCUUUUUGUAACAAGUACAAACAGCUUUGUAAAACAGGCUUUGGUGACAGUCAUCAUCAUCAUAUAUUUAAUAGUAAGACUUGUCGGUGGAGCAAUUUCCAUGUUUGACAGUAUCUUUUGUAUAAGUAAUGGCUUAUUUGCCAACAUGGGUGCAAUGGGUCACCAUAGAUUAGAUUAGAUUAUUUAUUUCAUAAAAGACAAUUACAGAAAGAUAUAAGAAUUUCUAUCAUGAUCGACGUCAAAAUAAAUUAAAAAUGAAUAUAAUAACAAUACUAAUGAAAUGAAAUUAUAGCACCAAUAAGAAUUGUCGACAUAUAAAAUAUACUAGCCGUAAUUCGGCACGAUCGCAUCUCGUGCCACUCCAGAGAAGCAUCUUAACCUCUAGUUUUUUGUUCCACCUUCUAUCUGGUCUUCACUGACAUCUUUAAGAAGUAAAUAAUAAUUUAAUAAUUUUUCCUGCGCAGUGUCUUGAACGUAUGUAUGAUCCCAAUCUAUCCCAUGAGGAUUUGCCGGUUCAUAUGUUUGUAACAAAGGCAUAGAUGUAUCUCCGUAACUUAUCACCAAGUUCCUAACAUAGUCUUUAUAGUUAUUCUUGAUAUUUUCCUCUUUGAGAGGCUCAAAGUUGCAGAGUUUUCUCCUUUUACUAGGUAAAUAUUGCGCAGUGUAAAUAAGAAGAUGUUUUUAUGAUAAAGAUUCUUUAUUCAUCAACUCUGUGUCCUUACAUGUAGUUAUCUUUGUUGUCUGUCCCUACUGCCCUACUGUCUUAUAUAUUAGUCUCGUACAUUACAUCCCCUUUCUUUUCAAGCAACCACAACAUGAAAUGUCUACUAGCAAGUAUCGACUUAUUACAAUAAAAUUGGCUGAAUAUACAACACACAUAUAAAGCAUAAGCUGCAUAAGCUAUCAAUUUAAUCAGUUUGAUAAUCACAGAGAUAGCUAGGCUUCUUGAUCAGUCGACCUGCUCUAGUUCUUAUAGCAGAAUUGUUAUUUUCAUUAGCAAUACUUUGAGUACUUUGAUCAUUCUCAUUUUCUUCUGUGUAGUUCUGAACAUCAAAAAUAUUCUUACUUUAUUGUGAAACAUAGCUAUCAUCUGUCAUUUUAAUAACAAAACUUCUGUGAGACACAGCUAUAUUAAACAUAUUAAUAACGGGUCACUCACGUAUUUUAAGUCGAAAACGCUCGACAUGUUUCACUCCACGCAAGCUCCUGAUGACGCUCCUCCUUACCUACCUACUCCUUUCACCUCGAAAGUCGCAACUCAAGUAAUCAAAACUGUUGUGUUGUCUAUGGUCGGCCGUCGUACUAGAAUCUAUGCAUGAUAAAAAAUAAAGAUUGUCUUUGAUCUGAACUUGAAAUGGUUUUUGCUAUGUUGACUGCUUCACUGACGUCCUGAAGCUCUUCCGUUUGUAGUAAUUUUUCCUUUAUAACUUGGUUUUUCAAACCUAUAAUUAACAUGUCUUUUACUAGCGAGUCUGAUAGUUCCGAAGUCACAUGAGGCAGCUAAAUUGUUUAUUGACGUCACAUACUCAUCUAGUGACUCCUCCUCCGUUUGAAAGCGACUCAACAAAUUGUACCUCUCAACUGUUGUGUUUUUGCAGGCGUUGAAUUUGCUGUGGAAUUUCUUUAUCACUGACUCUAACGUUUCUUCCGACCUCUGUACGUUGAAUGAGUCGUAAAUUUCUAAUCCUUCGUCACCGAUGGCAUUUAACAAAAUUGCGACUUUCUAUUUCUCUGGUAGUUUUUCCAAGUCAUUUGCGUCGCUGAAGAUUUCAAAUUUCUGUUUCCAUCUCCGCCACUUUUCCGAAUUUGCACACUCAUUAGGACCUGCGCCAUUUUUCUGAACGCUAACCUGUAACGGCUUUAGGCUGUUCGCUAGGAUAACGUUUUGUGAUUUUUCCGUUCCGUUGGCCAUGUUCUUUCUUCUUUUGCUUCGUUUUCACUUCUGACACCAUGUAUCGUCUUCAGUAUUGGGGAUAUUGGGCUUUAAUUAUUUAAAUAGGAUUUCGGGAGCGGAGCACAAAUCACAUCAUUUCAAGUUCAGAUCAAAGACAAUCUUUAUUUUUUUAUUUUGCAUAGAUUCUAGUACGACGGCCGACCAUAGACAGCACAAUAAAAACAAUUCUCAGUGCCGUGUCGGCCGGCACCUAGACCACGUGGCAAGCAAAGUCAAAUGGCUAACCGAACGAAACAAAAAUACGAUCUACUUACCUUCGCGUGAAAAUGAGAAAGCACAAGGCGGCAUCUCUGUGUCGGCAUCUACAAUGGAAAACGGCGGCGCACGCCUUACUAUUUUAGGCGCGCGGCUCAGAACAGGUUAAGCUGAAGACGCGGGUUCGAUUCCCGCUUCGGCCACCGGUGGACUUGGUCUCUUUUUCUUUGGUGUAUGUUAUCUAUUUCAGUUUAUAAUCAUUCGUGGCCCUCAAAAUGGUCUCGCCGGAAGAUCAGCGCUGACUUUUGGGUUACCAUUAUGCUGAGGCGGGACCAUUUCGUUGUAAAUUAUUUAUUUUUAUAUUUAUAUUUCUUUGUUGUUUUUAUACUUUUGUAUGUUAUAGUUUAUCACGAAUUAAUGCGAUGAUUUCUGAUUUCUAAACAUGUCCUAAUGCCUCUCUGUUUCGUCCAUUACUUCUUUAUGCUUCGUUACAUCCAUUUGGUUAUUUAUAGCUCUAUCGAUUUCAUUCUCUGAUGAAGUCUGAGGUUCUCUCAUUUUUAUUGACAAUGCUUCAUCUAGAUUAUCACUAACCAUACGGUGAGUUAACGAUUGUUUGAUACACGAUUGAUCUUUCGUGAGGUCCUAAGGUCCUCAGAUAACAGAGACUCUUCUGCCUCUAGGGGAUGUAAAUGUGCAUAUUAUUUGAAUGGGACCUUGUGAAUAUUGCAUCACCUACUUUCACUUUUGGCUCUGUUAUACUACUUAUUUUCAAAUUUUCCCUAUUUUUACUUUCUCUUUUGAUCUGUACUAUAUCACCAAUGCAUGGCGCAAUUUUUGCUUUUACUCUAGCUUGUUUCGGUGAAUGAUUAUAUCGUUCUCUUAAACUUGAGAGACCUGCACACCGGAUGGGUCGGCAGAUCUUGCAACUUACAUGAGGAGUUGCUACAGGGCGCGUGGGUCGCUCUCCACAAAUCAAACCACGGACUUUCUUCAUACAAUCUUUUAUUAAAAAGAGUCGGAGAAAAAUACUUUUAAUUUUAACAUCACAGCUGACACAUAUUGGUUAAUUACUUAAUUAAAGGACAGAUCAAGGUAGCGUUACAUGGCAAAUCGAUUGGAGGCCAUGACGGAAGAGAGAAGGUGUCAAAAACCAUAGACUUAUAUACCAUUCUAUAAACAUAGACAAUUAGAUUAAGUUCAUGUAGAGAUGGUGUAAGGAGAUUAUAUAUUCUAACAAAACUCAGUAGGUAUUGAUUCAAGAACAUGUCCUUAUAUUAAUUCAUAAUCAUUUCACCUCUUUUCCAACCUUCUAACAGUGUUGCUUAGUAGAGGUACUUGAAGAAUUGUCAAUAUUAAUACAUAUUCCAGGUGUCAGAAAAUCAGCUGGUUUUAGAAUAUGUCCUUGAUCAUUUCCUACAUAAGUCAGCCUAUUUCCUAUGGCGUGUACUUCUUUGAUUAUUGUAAACAGCUGAUUGUCUCCUAGUAAAUGUUUUUCUAGGGUUCGCUUAAGACAAUGUUUCACUAUCGCUACUAAACGUUCAUAUACCCCCUCAUGCCAGGGUGCCAGCUGAGGAAUAAAUUUCCAUUGUAUUCCUUUGGAUGAUGAGUUAAUUCUGGUCACUACUUCCGACAGUAGUUUAAAUUGAAGUACAUUAUCAGACAAUAUUAUUGAAGGGGUUCCUCAAGCGGCAACAAAUCUUCGAAACGCCAGAGAACAUUGAUCCGUAGAUAUAUCUUUUACUAUCUCAAGGUGAAUGGCACGUAUCACUAAACAAGUGAAUAAGCAGACCCAACGUUUUUCUUGACUUUUAUCUGAUUUGACUACCAUAGGUCCGAAGUAAUCCAUUCCGACAUAAGUAAAAGGUGUCUCAUACUUCACUCUCUCUGGAGGUAAAGCAGGUGUGUUGGGUAAAGUGUAAGCUCCACCUCUGUGUUUUACACAUUGUUGACAUUUAUUUAUGAUUUUCUGAACUUGUGCUACCUUGUGGAAUCCAAAACCGUUGUCUCACUUUACUUAACGUAUGUGGUACUCUCACGUGAUAAUUUUCUUCAUGUAAUUCUUUUUAUGACAUAAUUGGUAAAUUCACAAUUUUUAGGUAAUAAGAUUGGAUGUUUUGUCUCAUAUAUAUGACAUGUCUGAAUGUGUUAGAAUGCGCUUCCUCUAACGAUUAGACAAGCCCCAAACAAGCUGACUUUCAAACGAAUGCUCCACAAGCACCUGCUAAUAGAUACUGUCUAGUGGGACCUCCCUUUCCGCACACAUGCAAAAAUAUAUUUAUGUAGGUACGAGGGGCACACCGAAGUGAUCGGAAAUAGAUAAAACUAUUUGUGGGAUGUAUAUAAAUUAUGAUUUAUUGUUUUUCGAAGUAUGCUCCCUUGCAAUCAAUGCAUUUUUUCGAACCAGUCAGUAUAGCAGUAAUUCCAGUCUGAACUGGAUAUUGACAAAAUGGCCGUUUUGUAGGCUUCCACGGCGGCUUCUGGGUCUUCAAACCGCUGACCACGCAAAAAAUCUUUAUUUCUUGGGAAUGUAAAAAAAUCAUUUGGACAGGUCAGGGCUGUACGGAGGGUGGGUCAUCAACUCGACGUUUUCCUGUUUCAAAAAUUCUUUUGUUUUACGGGCGGUGUGGGACCUCGCAUUAUCGUGAUGUAAGAUGACGCGACGGGUCGGACUGCCUCUGCGAAGUUCGGCUAUCAUCUCGGGCAAACAAACGGAGGUGUACCAAUAAGCGGUUAUUGUUCAUUGUUCUUGUAAGGGAAUCGUAGCCACACGCCAUUUUUUGGCACAAGAAGCGACCAUUUUCUUAGACACACUACGAGAACGCACGACUUUUCUCGGCUUGUCCUCAUUUUCGAAGACCCAAACUGCCGACUGAUGCUUUCUUUCAGGCUCGUACGAAUAAUUCCAAUAUUCAUCACCUGAGACGAUAUUAUAAACGGCUUUUGACUUGCCUCUGUUGAAGCGUUUCUGAUUAGAGCGGCACCAAUCAACACGAGCCGCCUUUUGCUCUUCUGUCAAAUUUGGGGUACCCAACGGUAAACUAGUUUCCUGACACACAACUCACUAUGCAAAAUAGCGUGAAUUGCAGUCAUACCAAUACCCAUGGUUGCUCGGAUCUGCUCAUAUGGCACAUGUCGGUCUUCUUUAAUUAUUUUUUUCCACAGCCGCGAUGUUUUCAGGUGUCACCGCUGUUUUUGGUCGACCUGUAGAAGGUACAGUACUGAGAGAGGCACUACCACGUCGAAACUCCGCAUACAACCAUUGUCGUUUGACUAGGUGCUUGAAUAUCAUAUAAGGAAACAAGCUCCUUGAGAUAAUCCUCUACGAAAGUUGUGAUAAAUUAUGACACAACAAUUUUCACGCGUGAGCUCCAUUUUAUUUAUCGACAUUCUAAUUUAAAAACGCUGUGAUAACUGUUUUUUUUUUUUCUUAAAUUGUACAAAUGGCAUAAUGAUUGUAAGAGACAGUAUGCAGGUAACAAAAAAGGUUUUAUCCCAUCAAAGCCUAAACUACUUCAUUUCCGAUCAUUUCGGUGUGCCCCUCGUAUUCAUAGCUCUUGUGUAUUUUUCCAUAUCCUAGAAUCUUUCUAUAAUUUUAUUUGUCAUUUCCAAAAAGGAAUGUAGUAGUUUGGGGUUUUUCCAAGGUGUCCUUAAGUGUUUUGUUUAAGCCGGGUAGAAUUACUGCCUUUCUAGUUUCCGUUUCUAGAAAAUGGAGAUCUGCUAGUAAUCUUAUAGAGUCCCCCAGCGGCGACACACAGUCUUUCUCAUUUUUAUUAAGUAGGUCCUUUAAUAUCUUAUUUAAAUUAGCGAUAACCAAUCUAAUCUGAUUUUGUUUUUCACGUAAUUUCUCAUCCCUAGUUUUAGCAUUUUUAUUUAAGGUUAUUUCAAUUUCUUCGUUUAGUUUUGGUGCUUGUACUAAACAGUUUUCUAUCGAGGGAAUUUUUUCUUCCAAUUUCUUUUUGCCUUCUUUAUCCAAUCCUUUCUGAAUGAUACUUUGCCAUAGUUCCGCUAAUUUUGGGUUAAUGGAAAUUACAUUCUUUUUCAUAUCUGGCUUUCCGAUUAACUGCAAGAUGUUCUCUUUAUCUUCACCUGCCUAUAAUGCCUAUUCAUCUAAUGUAUUGUCGAGUUAGAGUAUAAUCACAUGAAAUUAUUACUAACAACACUAUUAGCACGUAAGGUUUAUCUGUAAGUGCUGAUAUGUAUAAUAAUAAACAAAUAAACAAAAAAAAAACUUUUUGAGCAUUAAAAAAUGUCUUAUGGCAUUACGUCCGCCACGUUUUGGCGUUUUCAAGCUUUAGGAGCUAGGUUGAGUCAUAUCUAUGUCUACGUUAGUGUUUUAAAUAAUUAUUGCUUGUUCUCUGUUUGAAAUAAUAGGUUUUGUGAGUGUAGGUGUUUGAGCUGCCAGUGAUAACUAAUCUGCAUAUCCAAAUUGUGACUGUGUGGGGACAAAUCCAGUAACAUUUGUUUCUUCUUGCAACCUUUGUUUGAUACCAUACAAUAUUACUUUAUUAUUAUUAAUUAAUGAUUCUGCGUACAACCUUUGGUCUUCGUGCAACUUAUAUGCUACAUUCAACCCUGUGUCAUUAUAUUCAUCAUCUUCUUUUAGGGCUUUGUAAGCUUCAUUAAUUAAUGUUCGUUUCUUUAUGAACGAGAGUGAAGGCAUUGUUUGACGUAUUUGGGUCGACGAAUGUGAUGGCAGCGCAGCGGCGAGUACGUGACCACAGCGAUGAUGACUAUUCUUUUGCUUCACAUGAAAAGCUGUAGAGUUCUCUUCGUUGCGCCUGUGCUCCUCCUCCUGAAGCAGCGUGCGGACCACUUCACUCGUUAAUUGGUUUGUUAAGCAGGCAGCACGCAAGCAGUCUCCAAGCCAGAGAUAAGCUAGAUUAUCGAACUCCUGGGGCAGGCCGGAAAGUAGUAUAUCUUGGCUACUUCAUCAUCUUCGAUCGUUUUUGCUAUGUCUGCCAGUUGUUGUCAUUACCUGAGUAGAAGUACCUUUCUGUAUAGUCCCCUUGGUUCAAAUGUGUCCGCUUGCUUCUGCCACGCUUCCUUUGCAGUCUUUGCAUCACGGACAUAUUGGUACAGAUUUAGUUUUAUGGCAAGGCAUAUACGAGCCAAGGCACGGCUUUCACUGGUCGCAUCAACAUUGGUGCCUUCGAUGCAGGUCCAUAAGCCAUCCAGGGUCAGCAACAUUUGCAUAGGAAACUUCCAAUUAACGUAAGAAUUUAUAUCAUCAAGCUUCUUGACGGGGAUAUCUGUGUUCUUUGUAGACAUCUUUUAAGGUCUAUUGGCUGAAUUUGGAUAGAGAUUUAAAAGAUUGCACGAGGAGAGGGGACGAGUGCAAAUCUGUCGAAUCUUCCUUCUUGGUGUGUAUUUUGCAGUUUCAAUCAUACGGCGUUAGCACUGGGCUCUAGUAACCUAUUGGCAGAUUAAGUGAGCUGUGGUACGCG